AGGAUAAUAGUUAAAUAUAACAUUUGAUUUGCAUUCAAAAAGUGUUGAAAAUAAUUUAUUCAACUUAUCUUA
rnacentral:tRNA from 1 species